rnacentral:rRNA from 1 species
AACGAACGCUGGCGGCAUGCCUAACACAUGCAAGUCGAACGAGAUCUUCGGGUCUAGUGGCGCACGGGUGCGUAACGCGUGGGAAUCUGCCCUUUGGUUCGGAAUAACAGUUGGAAACGACUGCUCAUACCGGAUGAUGACGAAAGUCCAAAGAUUUAUCGCCAGAGGAUGAGCCCGCGUAGGAUUAGCUAGUUGGUGUGGUAAGGGCGCACCAAGGGGACGAUCCUUAGCUGGUCUGAGAGGAUGAUCAGCCACACUGGGACUGAGACACGGCCCAGACUCCUACGGGAGGCAGCAGUGGGGAAUAUUGGACAAUGGGCGAAAGCCUGAUCCAGCAAUGCCGCGUGAGUGAUGAAGGCCUUAGGGUUGUAAAGCUCUUUUACCCGGGAUGAUAAUGACAGUACCGGGAGAAUAAGCUCCGGCUAACUCCGUGCCAGCCGCCGCAGUAAAAC